GUCCAUGCUCCUCCUUGCUUAGCCGCUUAUCCUUGCAGGCUGCAGUGGCAGCAAUUUUAUUUGAAUUUUUUUUUCCUUAAGUGUACUCAUAGCCGUUCCUAAAUGAACGCUUUAUUUUGUGAAGUCGAAAGAGAUGUUUUAGUAAAGCUUAACAAACUGACCAUGUUAUGGACAGUGAAACUGAUCAAGAGAAUACUGGACAUACCAGUUCAGUGAUACCUGAUGAUCAGAUGCCAUUCAUCCUGUGACAGUUCUCUCAAACCAGGUUGAUAGCAAGGUUGAUAGCCAAAUAGUCUAAGAGAACCAUGCCAGUUCAGUGAUCUCUGCUGCUGAUGCCAUCCUUUUUAUGACAGUUCUCUCAAACCUGUUGAUAGUCAAAAUAAAUGAAGAUAAUCUGUCAGCGGACACUUGGUUGUGUGGGCGCCGUGAUUCGUUGAGUCGCACGUUCAAGUCUCUCGCUGGAAGUUCAUUUUGAAUUUUCGCCAUUUGCGCGGAAAACUGUUUCUGUUGUUUAUUUAAAUUCGUAUUUUGU